rnacentral:sRNA from 1 species
AAGUCCUCCCAUCCAGCAGCUCAGCCGCCACAAGCCAUGGCCGAUGCGAGCUCGGCCGCCGUCGCUGCCCCCAAGCCCCAACUGGCCGCCGGCACUUGAGCACCAAGCAGGGCCAGCUCGACGACGCCGUCGCCGCCCGCCACCAAGCUCGAACAGAUCAGCUCCAGCAAUGUUCAAUCCAACGACUUUUGCAUUGAUUGAUUGAUUUUCUCUGCUCGUGUGAUUGUGUGAUUGGAAUCGACUAGCUUGAACCAAUUGAUAGUAUCCCUGUGCUGUGCGUGCAUUGCAUGUGUACAUAUUACCAAAUCUCUGUUGCAUAUGGAUCCACUCUUGGAUAUCGGUUUUCGCUUGAAUGCCGUUUUCUUCUGUUAUUUUGUUGUUCCUUUUUUUAAGCUAUAAAACCCAACCUUCUCUUUAUGAUCUGUUUGUUUUCAAUAUUGUAAUUUUUUUUCUGGAAUUUGUUGUUAAUUAUAAC